AGAACUUCCAGGUCCAUCAUGGUGGCCCAAAGCCAUGGUUUCCUCUUGGAGAACCAUCUCAAGACCUUCAAGGUGGCCCAAAGCCAUGACUUCAUCUUGGAGAACCCCGUGUCCCCGUCCCAUCCCCAUGUCCCCAAGACCCCAUAUCCCAGUGUCCCCAUGUCCCCAAGACCCCCAUCCCCCUGUCCCCAUGUCCCCCUGUCCCCCAUCCCCACCACCCCAAUAAAUCCUGGUGAACGCUG